ensembl:lncRNA
CGCUGCUAAUCGUUUGUUUACCCUAAAGCAGGGACGUAAGAGUGUCGCGGAUUUCUCCAUUGACUUUUGGAUCCUGGCCAAGGAGACGGGCUGGGCAGAAAGCGCACUCCGGGGAGCCUUCCUGAACUGCCUAAACGAAGAACUCAAACGUGAGGCCUGUUUGGACCAGCCCGCUGUGCCCGCCUCCCGGGCCCCCGCCACCCGCCCGGAUUAUCGACGGCGCCGGCGUACUCCAUCACCCGCAUUAUGGAUGCCCGGUGCCGCAGUAGGGGCUUUCAGUUUUUGGUGGAUUGGGACGGUUAUGGUCCGGAAGAGCGUUCCUGGGUGCCGCGGUCUGCAAUUCUCGAUGACGCCAUGGUGAGAGAAUUCCGCCGCCGGCACCCUGACAAGUUUGGUAGGUCGCCGGGUGGCUCCCAUUAGAGGGGGGAUACUGUCAGGAUCUGACAGCUCCCUGACCGGUCGACCUGCCAGUGUGUGUAUAUCUGUGUGCGUGUGUAUGUGUCUCUUCUAUCGCGCUGUCUUCCCCUCCGGCUCCGCUGUGAUGUGUUAGGAGGUAACCUAGCAACAGGCUACCUCCGACCCGGAAGUGCUGUCGCCCGGAGCUGCCACACCUGCAGUCAAUCCACCAGCUGCUGCCAAUCAACUACCAUCUUCAGCAGGGCUACUUAAUGGUGUGGCUGAGUGACAGACAGCGCUGGAGUAUUGCACUAAGCCUGGGAUUGACGGAGGAUUUACGGACACUAAGGAAGCACUUGGAGGAGAGAUGGGCACUCACUACCAUGCACGAGCUUACACGGAAGGAGGGACGCUCUAUCACCAUUGUUAC